UCUGUGCUCCCUCUUAGUGCUCUGAAAUCUUGGGCUCCUCUCCCUCUUGAUUGCUGGCUGAAAAUCUUGGCUUGGCACUCCCAAGCUGCACACCACAGCUCUGGGACAAUCUCAAGCUUUAUAUCCCUUCCCAUCUUGGAGGAAUCAGAGGAAGGAAAGUUAGCAGUGGUUGUGACAGAGGGUUUUUCACUUGUCUCUUGGAGCUCCACCUCAGAAAGACGCAGAGCUGCUAUCAAUCAGUAUGAUUGGCCUAGGAUGGGGCAGCUGUGCUGUGAGACCAAUAUAGACGGGGUUUCACAAUGUUGGCCAGGCUGGUCUCGAAC
rnacentral:lncRNA from 1 species